GGUGACCAUGUAGAAUCCAGAUGGUAGGUUCUACCAAGAGUGAAUUUUUGCAUGCAGCAAAUGUCCCAGCAGGAUUUGUCUGGGAGGUUCAGUUGUCUAAUUAAACAUGGUGUUGAGGUUUGAAUCAGCCUGUGAAGAUGUUCUUUGGAAGAUACCAAGAAUGAAAAUCAAAAUGCUGUGACCUUAUAAUUCUGCAAAAGCAGAGGUUUUCAAAGGACUAGUUUUUAGCAAAAAACUACAUUGAAAGCCCUUUGAUGUAGCAUUUUGGCUUUGUAUCCAGUGUUUCAAAAUAUGAAAGAUAUACUAUGGUAAAAAUGUUUUUUUCUGUGAUUUCACCAUAUGAAAGGAACUGGGAUUUUUUCACCAGGAACACUCUGCUCAGCAUGCUGCGAUGCUCCCCCAGGAGCCUUUUACUCAGAGGCAACAUCAUGUUCAGGUUUAAGUUAUUCUCAUGGCUUCUUACUUUCUAGGGCUUACCUGUCCACCUGAGAUUUUAGAGCCAGAUAUCAGUUCUUCAAGGGAGCAUCUCUCCAAACAAUGGUGCGUCAGAAGUUGUUCAUCUGCCAAACAUAAUGCUUCAUUCUUCAAGAUUCCCAGGGAUGAGAAAGUACAUAGGCGAAAAACAGCAAUUAUAUUGAUAAGCAACCACUUAGGAAAAGAAUACCAUACUGUAAAUUGAUAUAAAUUAUAGAAACAUUUGCAAUAACUUCAGUUUUAAGGGCUUAGAAACUGGUACAUAGUUCAUUACAAUUUGUAUCCUCCUGAGUUUGUGCUCUUUCUGGCCCCCAAAAGAGGCUGUCCCUAUUUGAUGGAAGGGGACUCCACAUCCCCACAUUUCAGACCUCCUCCACAAACACUGCGAAGGCACAUUUCUGUCUGUCAUAGAGGAGUCUGCCCUCCUUCUUGCAGAUGAAAUAAGCAGGAAUAUCAUGAGUUUCUCAUUGUCUAAGUUGGGCAAGAUCUUUAUAUGUUAAGGGGUGAGAAAUGGGGAAGGAGGCCAGUCCCUGCCACCAGGAAGUCCCACCCAGGAGGAUUCCAGGUGCAGCUGGCCACAGGAAUCACGAGAAUCUUAAGACUAGAAUGGAGAGCAAAGAAAGGAAACUCAUCAAGAUCAACAAUAGAAGUAGAGAGGACAGGGUGUGGCCAGGGGGACAGAAGCUACUCGUAUUGAGUUCCCUGAAAAUAUUAAUGGACUGAGCUGGUGGGCCAUAUGGAGAGGACUGCUGGAGAUUGCCCUUGGGAGUCGCCUGCUUAGGGAAGUGAGGGUGCAGGAUUCAGCAGAGGGAAAAACUGAUCCAUAGCACGCCUGCCACCAGGAGCCAUGACGGCCCUUCAGGGGAGACCAAAAUCGAGGCAGUGGGGCAAGUCUGUAUCCAUCUCCACCUGGGAGGGGCAUUUUCUCCCCUCCCCUCUGCACUUAUCUAACCAUGCACCUCUCAAAACAAUCAUGCAUGAGUUAUUAGUAUUAUUCUAAGGGAUAUCAGCAUGGAAAGCUCUGACCUAGACUUACAUUGCAGGAGCAGCGCUGUCUUUGAAAUUUCAGACAUGAGCAAAUGGAGAGACAGCCAGGUUGUGGCAGUGUUUGACCCUCUGGCCGUCCUGAUGCGUGGCCUGCCUUCUGGAGCCAUUGAGUUUUGGUCCAGGAGUGUGAGAUCUGAUGGGCACAUAUGUUGGGUCCAAAUAACCAAAGUGGACCUUCCUUUAGAAGAGCAGGACACUGAUGUUUGUGCCAAAAAAUAGUGGGUUUGUGACACAGGACAGUCACUACCAAAACACAAGGUAUGGUAUGUACAUGUAAUUGUGCAGUGACUUCAGUAAACAUUUUAAAAAUCAUAGUUUUGUUGUUACAUCAAGCUUACAUUAUGAAAACCUCCUUCUGGUUUUAUAUAUUUCAAGACGGAAGUGAAACAGACAAAUUGCUUCAAAUGAAAGGCAGCAGUUUUUGUCUCUAACAUUUAAUUUGUGCAACAGUCACAUGGCCACAUUAUGCUUACGCACUGUGUGCCUUACUGGGCAUUAAUAGGACCCCGCAGGGCAGGUGCGCCUCUACAUGAUUCCAGGCUGGACUCUGGGUAAUGAUGGGCACUCUUAUGUUGCCUGAUAACAGGUGGUUCAAUCAUAGGAGGCAAAAGUGUUUCUUCUUUGAGGACAGGAUGGCACGUUGAAACAUUGAGACAGGACCGUAAAUGGAGAUACUGUUCAGAUAUCAUUUGGAAAGGCACAGCUCCGCAGAUAAGAAAGUUACACACAUCCUCCCUGCUCUGAGUUGCUGAGUGGUUUUGUGUCUCUGGUUUUUCACCAACACUGAGAGUAGCCUUCAUAGUAAGUCACAGCAGUCGGUGGAGGGGAGGAGAGCAGACUGAUUUUUGUCAGCUUUCCUGGAGUAGGGUUGGUUUGGGGCAAAUUAUUUAAAAGAUUUGUAUAACCUGGCUACAUCAUAAUCACUAACACAUUACUGAAGGUUUACUGGUCUACUCAAAGGUAAUCAUAAAGGAGUAACGCAAGUAGUGCAAAGCAGCCAGCCUGCUACACAAGAAGGGUUAUCCUAUAAUACAUAGUAUUGCUACUUAUCUCAGAUGUGUCGUGACUUUUUUAGCCUUUUUGUUUUAAUUUCAGGCUUACAAGAAACUUGCAAGACUAGGACAAAGAAUUUCUGUAGACACUUAUAUUCCUCAAAUGUUGAUAUUUUACCACCCAAAGAUGGUGAGAGAACUUAGAACUUGGGGGUUCCCUCUCUCUCUACACACACUCACACAGAUAAGGUUUGGCUUAAUUUUUGUUCUUGCUGAUCCAUUUGACAGCAAGUUGCAGACAUGGUACCUCUUUACCCCUAAAUUCUUUAGCAUGUAUUUCCCAAAGCCAAAAUAUUCUUUUAUGUAAUACAAAUACAUUUACAAUAAUCAGGGAACUAUAUUGAUACAACACUACUAAGCAUUCUAUAGCCUUUAUUUAAAUUUCACCAUUUGUCCCAAUUAUGGCAUUUAUAGCUAAGACACACACACAGACACACACACACAUACACACACACACACACACACACAUAUUAACCUUCCACUCUUCCCUGUCCCCAGUGCAAGAUCCAGUCUAGGAUAACAAACAAGUAACUCAGUAUUUUGCCUUUCUUUUAAAUGUCCUCUAAUCUGGCCUGGUUCUUCAAUCUCUUUAAGACACUGACGUUUCGUAGUGGGCACACCAGGUAUUUUGCAGGAGUUUCUUGAUGUUUCCUCCUGGUCAGAGCUGGGCUGUGCAUUUUUAGCUGGAACACCCCAGAGGAGAGGUUGGCAGUGCUCAUACCAGGGCACAGGUGACACCGACUCGUCCCCUAACUGGUGAUGUUAACUUUGAUGACUCAUUAGGGAGGUUGCCCAAUUUCCCCACUACCAUUAUUUUUCUCUCUGUAAUCGAUUAUUACUAUGAAGGUUGUGUGCAAAACAUUCCUGUGAGGACGGAAUUAUUACUCUCAUUAAAAAAUAAAGAACCAGAGUGCAAAGUCUUAUCUUCUGUUGGAGAUGAAGCCAAGAAUCAAAUUCAUGUCUCAUGCUAAAGUUUAAGCUGCUUUCACUAUACCGUGAAAGACAGUAGCAUCAAAUGCAAAAAAAUAAAUAAAUAAAAUAGUUCAUUUUUGAAUUGAUUUAUAGGGCUUGUUGUUAUUCCUCAAAUGUACAGAUUUUGAUUUUUCUAGGCAUAAAUGGAAGAAGGUUCCCCUUUAUGGGAGUUCCUUUUCAGUAGCAUCAGAUGAGAAGAGGAAGAAGAACGAAAACUUGCAACAUGAAGUGGUCUCCUUUCCGUCUGUAGUUCAUGGAAACAAAGACAUGAAGCUUCUUUCAGGUUUAGGCAUCAGAAUCCAAAGACAUCCAUGGAAGCACUAUCAUGAGACACCGAUUGCUCUUCUAGUUUAAAUAGAGGACAUGCAGGCAUGUGGGCUCGGGAGAUUGCAGAAGGAGCCCCAAGAUCAUGAUGAGCCCACGGUCAUGCAGCCAGCUGGGCUCCAGACUUCCAACUCCAAGCUCUUUCCUGCAUCAUAUGGAGAAAAUCCUUUGGAGCAGGAUAAAGACAUAUUCCCUAAAGCUCUUGGGUGAAAAUAAUAAAAGAAAAAGGAAUCCCA
rnacentral:sRNA from 1 species